GACGAACGCUGGCGGCGUGCUUAACACAUGCAAGUCGAACGAAGUGGCGAACGGGUGAGUAACGCGUAAUCAACCUGCUCUUCAGAGGGGGACAACAGUUGGAACCGACUGCUAAUCCCGCAUACUGAAGGUGGGGAUUGCGUCUGAUUAGCUAGUUGGAGGGGUAACGGCCCACCAAGGCGAUGAUCAGUAGCCGGUCUGGAGGGAUGGACGGCCACAUUGGGACUGAGACACGGCCCAGGCUCCUACGGGAGGCAGCAGUGGGGAAUCUUCCGCAAUGGACGAAAGUCUGACGGAGCAACGCCGCGUGAGUGAUGACGGCCUUCGGGUUGUAAAGCUCUGUUAAUCGGGACGCGGUACCGGAAUAGAAAGCCACGGCUAACUACGUGCCAGCAGCCGCGGUAAUUC
rnacentral:rRNA from 1 species